rnacentral:tRNA from 1 species
GGUAAGGUGGCCGAGUAAAGCGGUGGAUUGUAGCCCCAUAGACAGAGGUUUAAGCCCUCUCCUUAUCA